rnacentral:rRNA from 1 species
AUUGAACGCUGGCGGCAUGCCUUACACAUGCAAGUCGAACGGCAGCACGGGAGCAAUCCUGGUGGCGAGUGGCGAACGGGUGAGUAAUAUAUCGGAACGUGCCCAGUCGUGGGGGAUAACGUAGCGAAAGCUACGCUAAUACCGCAUACGAUCUAUGGAUGAAAGCGGGGGAUCGCAAGACCUCGCGCGAUUGGAGCGGCCGAUAUCAGAUUAGGUAGUUGGUGAGGUAAAGGCUCGCCAAGCCGACGAUCUGUAGCUGGUCUGAGAGGACGACCAGCCACACUGGGACUGAGACACGGCCCAGACUCCUACGGGAGGCAGCAGUGGGGAAUUUUUGGGACAAUGGGCGCAAGCCUGAUCCAGCAAUGCCGCGUGCAGGAUGAAGGCCUUCGGUU